CCCUUAGAUGUUCUGGGCUGCACGCGCGCUACACUGAUGCAUCCAACAAGUUUUCUCCCUUGUUCGGUAGGACUGGGUAAUCUUUUGAGUAUGCAUCGUGAAGGGGAUAGAUUAUUGCAAUUAUUAAUCUUCAACGAGGAAUUCCUAGUAAGCGCGAGUCAUCAGCUCGUGCUGAUUACGUCCCUGCCCUUUGUACACACCGCCCGUCGCUCCUACCGAUUGAGUGCUCAGGUGAAUAAUUCGGACUGCAGCAAUGUUUGGAUCCCGAACGUUGCAGCGGAAAGUUUAGUGAACCUUAUCACUUAGAGGAAGGAGAAGUCGUAACA
rnacentral:rRNA from 1 species